UAUAGCAUUCAUUCAUGUCAGUUAAUAUUCCAAACUUAAACAUUAAAACAUUGUUUUAUUGUGAUUUUUUUCCAAGCACAUUUUACCAAUUCCAAACCAUAUCAAUCUUAAUAACUACCAUUAUUUUUUAUUUAAUCAUUUAUGAGUGCUAUACAAUAGUCCAGGAAAGCUGGAAGAGAAAAACUCCUUAUAUUCAUGUGCAGAAUUAUUAGGCAUGUUUUCUUUUACAGAUGAAAUGCGCUAAAAAAGAGUUUUAACUCAAACUGUUUUAACUCAAAGUCGAAAAUUAUGAAAUACCCAUGAGAAAUAUCAAACACAAAUGCAAUACAGAAAUGGAUAAGUUAAGACUUGACCAUUGUACAAAAAUGCUGACUGGGUCAUGAGGUCAGAAAAGAAGAAGAAAAAAAAACAGGUCAAGAAGAACUGACAAAAAUAAUUGCAAAAUAAUUAGGAAUUAAUGUGAAGAUUAAUUUUUAGUCAAUUCUGCAAGACAGACUUUCAGGAAAGGAGGUGGAAUAAAAAUGAGCUCCUAAAUCUUAAUCCCGGAUUCUGGAAGAUAUAUUCCUCAAACCAUCGGACAAGAGGAGGUGGUGCUGGUCCUUCACGAGUCACUCUAAUCUGUUCAUGAAGCCUAUAUAUAAAGUCUUAAUAUAUAGUAUUUCACAAUACUUCAUGGUAUUCUAAUUAAAUCAUUUUUUGGAAUCUUAGAUUUCUCAGAACCUGACACAUUGUAAUUCUGAGACUCCAGGAAAGUGGCAGUUCUGUAAAAUGUUGGCACUGGAGACUAAAUGCUCCCUGAUAGUUUCACACCUAAUU